AAGGUGUGAACAAAUGAGGGUCUCCCAGUCCGGAUCAUACUCGCCCAAACCGCGAACGACAAGCAAGGGAGUCGGAGAUCACCGAAAUCGGCGAGGUCCACCUCCCCCGUCAUCCCAAGAGUGUCGAGCGGUCGGA